rnacentral:tmRNA from 1 species
GGGGGUGUAAUGGCUUCGACAGGCAAGAGCAGCUCCAAAGUGCAGUGGUGUGGCAGACCAUAAUUGCUUCUAGGCUUUCAAUGACCGGAAAAACUAGUGAAGAAAAAGACAUGGAAGUUUCAACAUUCAUGUUAAAUCGUCAAUCAAACCUAUUAUUUGCUUAAUUAACGCAGAAUAGUCAGUUUUGGUAUGUCCGAUACCAAAAACUGUUGUCAGGACUCGGAUAAAAUAAAUGCGGUAUUUAUUUUAUUGACUUACCCAACCGUCGCUGUAAGGAUUUUUUGUUUAUUUAUAGUUUUUAUGGCGUAUUUUUUAAAUAAACUAAACUGUAGUACUUAAGAGUAAGUUUUUGCGUGGACCGGGGUUCAAUUCCCCGCAUCUCCACCA